rnacentral:lncRNA from 1 species
AUGUCAGAGUGACGUGAUGUGAAACUUAGCUGAUCGUUGCUGGCUUUGAAGAUGGAAGGAACUCAGGCAGCCUCUAGACACUGGAAAAGCUAAGAAAACCAAUUCUCCCAUAAAGCCUAGAUUAAGGAAUGCAAGUCUGCCAACACAUUUUUUUUUUUUUGAGAAAGAUUAGCCCUGAGCUAACUGUUGCCAAUCCUCCUCUUUUUGCUGAGGAAGACUGGUCCUGAGCUAACAUCCGUGCCCACCUUCCUCUACUUUAUACAUGGGAUGCCUACCACAGCAUGGCGUGCCAAGCGAUGCCAUGUCUACACCUGGGAUCCGAACCAGUGCAUCCUGGGCUGCCGAAGCGGAAUGUGCACAUUUAACCAUUGUGCCACCGGGCUGGCCCCUCUGCCAACACUUAAUGAUUUCAGCCUGGCCUUCCACAGCAGCCACAGCAGCCACAGCAGACGGCGAACCUCCACCUUCCACGUGAGGCAGGCAGACGUGGAAGAAAGAGUAGACGUUAGUGACCGGCCUGCCCUGGUGGACUCAGAAGGUGAUGAGAUGUUGGCAGACGACCCUCUUCCUCUCUCUCCUACACCCAGUCUCCUGCAGCUCCCACCACCCAACCUCCGACAAUCUAGCCUACCGCACAUCAUCACCACCGCCUCUCAGCCUUCCAGUGUGCUCGCUGCCUUCCUGGUUCAGGCCCAGCUUGAGAUACUCAGCUUGCAACCGGGGUGGCUUUGUGACACAGUUCUGACCAGUGAGAUGCAAGAUCAAGUCACCAAGUGGGGCUUCUGGGAAAGCUUGUUAAAUGGAACUGAGUCAUCUGUUAAGUGCCUUUUCAGCUUUUACAUUUUGCUUUUUGUCCCCUCUCCAAUUUCUGUUUUCUGCUGGGAACAUGACUGUGAUGCCUGGAGGUGGACUAGCCAUUUUGUGACAAAAACCACUUGCUAAAGAUAAUGGGACAGAAAAAGAGAACCUGUGUCUCUGGCACCAUCCUAGAUCCUCUUUACCAGCCCAUGUUCCAAACGCGGGGACUUGUUGUUAUAGGGAGAAAUAAACCACUGUUUAGUUAAA